AGGCCAGAUACGAGUGAGCUGGACCGUACGUGGAGACUUCAAGGUAUAUCUGCUAGUGUCCGCAGACCUCGGAGUCCCCCUCUAUCCUUAUUAUGUUGUUUUCCUCAUUCUUUUUAGACUCUGAUAUAUAGAGACACUUAGAAUUUUCUCUUAGAAGCUUGUGAUUUCGUUCUACCGAAUUUUUGAGAGUUGUAAUUAUUUGAAUUGCAGUUUCUAUUUAUAUUUCAUGUGUUGAGAUUUGAGUUCAGUUUUAUAUUCAGUUAUUCCAAAUUGUUAGGCUUACGUAGUCUUAGAGACUAGGUGUCAUCACGAUAUCAUACGGAGGAAAAUUGGGGUCGUGAUAGGUUGAUAUCAGAGCUCUAGGUUCAUAGGUGUUAUGAGUCACAAGCAGGUUUAGUAGAGUCUCGCGGAUCGGUACGGAGAUGUCCGUACUUAUCUUCGGGAGGCUAUGGAAUUGUUAGGAAAAGCUUCACUUCUUUGAUUGCUUAUCGUGUGAGAUUUUGACCUCGGAUUCUAAUUUUCUGUCUUUCUAUUCUCUCACAGAUGGUGAGGACGUGUACAACAGGAUCAAAUGACCAGACAACCGUGCCCCUGCUAGAUCCGCGUGAGGACGCGACCGAGGCCGAGGUAAAGGUUGAGGACGUCCACGUGGUGCAGCCAGAACACCUGCACGAGCUGCUACAGAGGAGCCACCAAUAGCUCCAGUUGGAAG
rnacentral:lncRNA from 1 species